GAGAGAGAUUGAAAGAGAGAGAGGUGACCAGUGUGGUGACAAGCGGGGGUAGUGGCGACUACAGUGAAGAUGGAGACCGGGAAAAAUGGAUCUGAGAAACAGAAACAAGGACGACGUUGGCAAGUAUAGAUGGCGACGAGCUCAAUAUCCGUGACGACGACAAAGACCAGUCUUCUUCAACACUUUUUUUUUUCUCCGACAAUCUUCUUUUCUUCUUUGACGUUUCUUCUUCUCUCACUUCUAAGAUUUACAAACCAAAUAUACUAAGGCAUAACAAAUGAAUGAUAAUGUAUGAAUCUCUCUUGUUUACAAGACAGAAAGUGAGAGAGAUGAAGAAGAUCUGGAACUGUAAAGAACUCUCGAAGGAAAGACACUACAAGAAAACACAAAUUUAACGAUGGCGGUUUUCCUCG
rnacentral:lncRNA from 1 species